GGACAACAGUUGGAAACGACUGCUAAUACCGCAUGACGCAUUUUGAUCGCAUGGUCGAAAUGCCAAAGAUUUAUCGCUGAAAGAUGGCCUCGCGUCUGAUUAGAUAGUUGGCGGGGUAACGGCCCACCAAGUCGACGAUCAGUAGCCGGACUGAGAGGUUGACCGGCCACAUUGGGACUGAGAUACGGCCCAGACUCCUACGGGAGGCAGCAGUGGGGAAUAUUGGGCAAUGGGCGCAAGCCUGACCCAGCAACGCCGCGUGAAGGAAGAAGGCUUUCGGGUUGUAAACUUCUUUUAAGUGGGAAGAGCAGAAGACGGUACCACUUGAAUAAGCCACGGCUAACUACGUGCCAGCAGCCGCGGUAAUACGUAGGUGGCAAGCGUUGUCCGGAUUUACUGGGUGUAAAGGGCGUGCAGCCGGGCAUGCAAGUCAGAUGUGAAAUCUCAGGGCUUAACCCUGAAACUGCAUUUGAAACUGUAUGUCUUGAGUGCCGGAGAGGUAAUCGGAAUUCCUUGUGUAGCGGUGAAAUGCGUAGAUAUAAGGAAGAACACCAGUGGCGAAGGCGGAUUACUGGACGGUAACUGACGGUGAGGCGCGAAAGCGUGGGGAGCGAACAGGAUUAGAUACCCUGGUAGUCCACGCUGUAAACGAUGGAUACUAGGUGUGCGGGGACUGACCCCCUGCGUGCCGCAG
rnacentral:rRNA from 1 species